ACAAGCGGUGGAGCAUGUGGUUUAAUUCGAAGCAACGCGAAGAACCUUACCAGGUCUUGACAUCCCUGACAACCGAGAGAUCGGCGUUCCCCUUCGGGGGACAGGGUGACAGGUGGUGCAUUGGUUGUCGUCAGCUCGUGUCGUGAGAUGUUGGGUUAAGUCCCGCAACGAGCGCAACCCUCGACCUUAGUUGCCAGCAUUCAGUUGGGCACUCUAAGGUGACUGCCGGCUAAAAGUCGGAGGAAGUGGGAUGACGUCAAAUCAUCAUGCCCCUUAUGACCUGGGCUACACACGUGCUACAAUGGGCGGUACAAAGGGUCGCGAACCCGCGAGGGGGAGCCAAUCCCAAAAAGCCGCUCUCAGUUCGGAUUGCAGGCUGCAACUCGCCUGCAUGAAGCCGGAAUCGCUAGUAAUCGCGGAUCAGCAUGCCGCGGUGAAUACGUUCCUGGGUCUU
rnacentral:rRNA from 1 species